CUGGCAUGUGUUUUGCAAGGUGGUGUGUCCUGAACUGAUAGUGAGCUCAAAGGGUUAUAACGUGUACAUGGGCUAGGAGGCCCAUUGGGAAGUUGCCCCUGCCUCUUCAGGAAGAAUAUUUCAUAGGGUGAAAAUACAAAGACAGAAUGGACUUCCUUGUGGACUCGUGGAGUUCUAUAUCAGCAACGAGAAAAUACACAACGGGAACUUCAGUGAUGGAUAUACCAUGGAUAUUCAUAUACCAUAUCAGGACUCCGAUACGUCAUGGGUACCAGACCCUAAUGCCUCACAGCCCUCCUUUCUACUCCCCCCAGGUAAGCCCCCGACACCCCCUACAUAUACACAGCAUGAGGAUGUGUUUGAUGGGGUGGUCAGUACUCUUUUUGUGGAUACCAUCAUGGCCUCUGUAGCCGCACUUUUAGAUGUGGUGAUUGGAGAGUUAUUAAGGAAAAAUGCCACGGUUGUGAGAUCAAUCACCCCAGCCAACAACGACAUCCGUGUUUAUAUGACCCACCCAAGUACUUUUUCUUCAACCACUUUGAUGAACUGGUGAAAAGACUGUGGUCCGACCGUUUUAUAACAUCAAUGGUCAGAGCCCUGGAGUCUAUGGGUCUGUGCCAUCUAUUCCUAGGGUUUAUGGUGUAACAGUAGCCUUCCUACAUGAACUGAAGGAGGCGAUCUUCAUCCAUGAGAAACUCAAAGAAAUCAGGCAAUCACUGGUGGACGACAACAAAUACAAGGAAGCUUUGGUGGCGGAUGUGGUUAAGUUCUGGCUCAAUAAACCCUAAGAAAACGAGUAACAUUAUUAUAUAUUUUUUAAAUUAGAUAUAAAGAAAUGGGUAACUAUUUGCAUACUAUGUUAGAGAGAAUAACUACAUCUUCUCUUUUGAGAUAAUUUACAACUCUUAUGCAACAAAUGAUUGAAAAUAAAGUGGACAAUGUCUCGCUCUACACAGCCUACAGUACAGGGGUUAAUGCAGAGCGUGUGUUAAAAAUGAAACAAAUCAUGAAUCAUGUAAGACAUACGGGGAAGACUCUACAAUGGUCACAACUGGUAUCACGGCUUGUGGAUGAUUCUGAAGAACUAGAAACAUCCUUGUCUAAGAUUUUAGUUUAUUUGUUUGAGCCGUCAUUUAAUUGUAACAUGUAUCAUAUUGUUUGUGUAUAUACUUAUAUAACGGAUGUAUGUGUUUUUAUUCAGCAAUAUAAGCCUGUAAAUGUAAACCAAAUAUAUCAUGUGUUGCAUGCCUGGGUCAUUGAGAAAAAGGGUAAUAAUAUCUUGCUACGUAUCCUAAAUUGUAUGGAUACGUAAUACUUAAAAAUGUAUGCAAAAAUUAAAUGCUAAAUGAAAAUGAAA